GCUCACACCGGUUUAAACUCAGAUCAUGUAAAAUUUUAUAGGUCGAACAGACCUCCCUUACUAGUUACUGCACCAGUAAUUUAUUUUAAUCCAACAUCGAGGUCGCAAUCCCCUCUUUCGAUAAGAACUCUAAGAAAGAUCACGCUGUUAUCCCUAAGGUAGUUUCAUCUUUUAAUCUAAAAAUUAGGAUCAUAUACCUACACAUCAAUAUUUUCAUUAAAAAAAGUUGCUCAAAUUUCUCCAUCGCCCCAAUUAAACACACUUUGAAAUUUCCAACACAGAUCCCUAUUAUUCAUAAAUUCCUUAUAUGCAAAACUCUAUAGGGUCUUCUCGUUUUCCAUAUAAAUUUAAGCUUUUUCACUUAAAAAUAAACUUCUAUAAAAUUUCUUAAGAGACAGUCACUUUUUCAUCAAACCCUUCAUUCAAGCUUUAAAUUAUAAAACUAGUGAUUAUGCUACCUAUGCACGGUCAAAAUACCGCGGCCAUUUAACUAAUCAGUGGGCAGGUCAGACUUAAAAUCAUAAUCAU
rnacentral:rRNA from 1 species